CGCUAUGGCGGCUGUGCGUGGGGCACCUUCGGGUGCGCCGGGUUCGUAUGUGACCGGUCCGUCAACCCAUGCACAGCUGCCACCCAC
rfam:Pseudomonas rhizosphaerae strain DSM 16299, complete genome.